GUUCCUUCGGGGACAUCUGAUAAAAUCGGAACGAUACAGAGAAGAUCAACAUGACCCUUACGCAAGGAUGACACAGAGAAAAAUCGAGAAAUGACCCAAUACU
rfam:Capsicum annuum cultivar Zunla-1 chromosome 10, whole genome shotgun sequence